GUGCCAGCCGCCGCGGUAAUACCGGCAGCCCGAGUGAUGGCCGAUCUUAUUGGGCCUAAAGCGUCCGUAGCUGGCUGCGCAAGUCCGUCGGGAAAUCCACUCGCCCAACGAGUGGGCGUCCGACGGAAACUGCACCGCUUGGGACCGGAAGGCUCGAAGGGUACGUCCGGGGUAUGAGUGAAAGCCUGUAAUCCUGGACGGACCGCCGGUGGCGAAAGCGGCUCGGGAAGACGGACCCGACAGUGAGGGACGAAAGCUGGGAUCUCGAACCGGAUUAGAAACCCGAGUAGUCC
rnacentral:rRNA from 1 species